AUUGAACGCUGGCGGCAGGCCUAACACAUGCAAGUCGACCGAGUGGCGGACGGGUGAGUAAUUUCUGGGAAACUGCCUGAUGGAGGGGGAUAACUACUGGAAACGGUAGCUAAUACCGCAUACCAUCAGAUGUGCCCAGAUGGGAUUAGCUUGUUGGGGGGGUAACGGCUAUCCAAGGCGACGAUCCCUCGCUGGUCUGAGAGGAUGACCAGGCACACUGUAACUGAGACACGGUCCAGACUCCUACGGGAGGCAGCAGUGGGGAAUAUUGCGCAAUGGACGCAAGCCUGAUGCAGCCAUUCCGCGUGUAUUAAGAAGGCCUUCGGGUGUUAAAGUACUUUCAGCGGUGAGGCGUUACCCGCAGAAGAAGCACCGGCUAACUCUGUGCCAGCAGCCGCGGUAAUAC
rnacentral:rRNA from 1 species